UUUGAGUCAAACAGUUUAUUUGAAGUUGGCAAUCCUAUACAAUGUAGGAAAAACAAGUCAAAUAAUAUUUAGCCAAUCACAUGAUUAGAAUGAAAACAACAAAAUAUUAGAUAGAAAAUUUACUAACAUUGUGAUAAUCAGAAAACCCGGCCACCUAAACAGCAGUCAAACAUGCAUGAAAAUGUAGGUCUACUGACUUGACAGGACCCAUAUAAUAAAGACAAUUUAUUCAUUUCCUUUUAUAGAUAUUUAGCAUAUAAACUGAAAAAACAACAAUAUCCAUUCAGAUAUCUGUUUCUUUGGCUGAUGUUUAAUGAGGGUGUCAUAUGGCUAGCACAAGGACAACCGCCUUUACUUUCCCCAACUUAAGUCAGGUACCCAUUAGAAUUGGGUGGACUCAGGGGUGCCCUAAAAUUUCUGAAAUUCAAAAUCCCAGUCUUCACCGAAAUUCGAACCCAGCACCCCAGGUAUGGAAGCAAAGCGCUUAACCACUCAGCCGCCACCCUUCAGAUAUAGGCCCUAUGUUCAGCACAAAUACAUUCUCAACCCCCCCCCCCCCCAAAAAAAAAAA